rnacentral:lncRNA from 1 species
UACAUAUAUCUCAAGUGGGGCAAGACAAGAUGAGAAUAUCAUGGAUUACACAUGAGCCAACAUCUGCAACAGUGGAAUACGGCCCAUCUCCUUCAGCAAACGCGUUUUCUGCCAAUGGGGAAACCACUUUUUACAAUUAUGUUACUUACCUAUCUGGUCAUAUUCACAACGUUGUGAUUGGGCCACUCAAGCCCAACACGGUCUACUACUACCGUUUGGGUGAAUCAGACAAAACAUACAAUUUAAAGACUACACCCUCUCAAUUUCCAAUCAAGUUUGCAGUAGUUGGUAUGUACUCACUCUAGAGUUAAAAUGUUUUAGAUUUUUAAAAGAUAUUAAUAUUAUAUUAUAUAUUACUAACCACUGAUAUAUCUUUGUAGGAGAUCUUGGUCAAACAGAGUGGACAGUUUCAACAUUACAACAUAUAAAAGACUCAAACUAUGAUAUGCUAUUAUUACCAGGAGAUUUGUCCUACGCAGACGUGAUACAUAGUUGUUCAAUUAGUCAAUCACUCAGUAGUCUUCCAUAUUUGUUUAAGAGGUAAUAAUAAGUGUGUUUGUUUCAAAAAAAAAAAUCUAUUAUUUGACACCAAAAAUUAUCUUUUAAGGUUUAAAGAAUGUUUGUUUCAUAUUUUUUAAAAAUUAUUUUAAAUAGGCUUUUAAAUAGGCUUCUAGGCUAGGCUAGACUUUUAAAAAGAUCAGAUCAGGUCGAAAAAAAUGCCCAUGAUAGGCCGUAUGCCAGGCUUAGGCCUAAAAAAUAAAUUGUAGGCCAGACUCAGCCCUUUCAAAGUCUGGUCUGACCUAUUCUCACCCCUACUUUUAGAUCAGACCAGACUUUUAAAAAGGUCAAGACGUGUCUAUUCCCACUUCUUAUGAGAAGGCUAAUGAGAAAAGUGUGUGGGCUUUGCAGGUACAUAUAUCUCAAGUGGGGCAAGACAAGAUGAGAAUAUCAUGGAUUACACAUGAGCCAACAUCUGCAACAGUGGAAUACGGCCCAUCUCCUUCAGCAAACGCGUUUUCUGCCAAUGGGGAAACCACUUUUUACAAUUAUGUUACUUACCUAUCUGGUCAUAUUCACAACGUUGUGAUUGGGCCACUCAAGCCCAACACGGUCUACUACUACCGUUUGGGUGAAUCAGACAAAACAUACAAUUUAAAGACUACACCCUCUCAAUUUCCAAUCAAGUUUGCAGUAGUUGG